GACGAACGCUGGCGGCGUGCUUAACACAUGCAAGUCGAACGGAAAGGCCCUGCUGUUGUGGGGUGCUCGAGUGGCGAACGGGUGAGUAACACGUGAGUAACCUGCCCUUGACUUUGGGAUAACUUCUGGAAAAUGGGGCUAAUACCGGAUAGGAGCUCCUGCUGCACGGUGGGGGUUGGCAAGUUUCGGCGGUUGGGGAUGGACUCGCGGCUUAUCAGCUUGUUGGUGGGGUAGUGGCUUACCAAGGCUUUGCCGGGUCGCCGGCCUGAGAGGGUGACCGGCGACAUUGGGCCUGAGGUACGGCCCAGACUGCAACGUGACGCAGCAGUGGGGAGUAUUGCGCAGUGGGCGGAAGCCUGUUGCAGCAACCCCGCGUGCGUAAUGACGGCCUUCGGGUUGUAAACCGCUUUCGCCUGUGACGAAGCGUUAUUGACGGUAAUGGGUAAAGAAGCACCGGCUAACUACGUG
rnacentral:rRNA from 1 species